AUACGUAGGGUGCGAGCGUUAAUCGGAAUUACUGGGCGUAAAGCGUGCGUAGGCGGCCCCGCAAGUCCGCUGUGAAAGCCCCGGGCUUAACCUGGGAAUGGCAGUGGAAACUAAGGGACUUGAAUCCGGCAGAGGGGGGUGGAAUGCCAGGUGUAGCAGUGAAAUGCGUAGAGAUCUGGCGGAACACCGAUGGCGAAGGCAGCCCCCUGGGCCGAGAUUGACGCUCAGGCACGAAAGCGUGGGGAGCAAACAGGA
rnacentral:rRNA from 1 species